GGCCGUCGAGAGCAGCCUGAUCUCGGCAGGACUAUUUUAAUUGCUCCGCUGGCUCUGAUGUCUCCGGGUGUUUUUAAUUACAGCCUGUCCCGAACUGACGCACUCGUGUCUACAUUUCACAAAAUGCAAUUGUCUUGUCCAACCAGCUUCCAGUUAAAUACACAUUAUAAAAUAGCACAUCUACCUAGUUUUUAUUCCAUUAGUUUGUAUUUCGUCAAUCACAGUCGUAAAAGAAAGUAAAGCUGAUCGUGUGAAAUCCCGGGGGAACACCAGCGGGAGACCCUGAUGAAUAUACCAAGCGCUCCUCAAAACCUGGACGUGUUUGGGAAACAACAGUCUGCCUUCAGUGCGCAGUGAAUUUCAUCGGCGUCAGUCCACUAUCGCUUUUCAGGAGCCUCACAGGCCUGAAACUCAAAGGACCCUGCAAAGGCCACAAGACAGUGCAGCAGCUGUGAGUCACAAGGAUUCACUUGCAGCAGCUGCUGAGGCAAACUGACUGUGGGUUUUCUUCAUGAACUGGGGUCAUGAUGAAAGGGACGGCGGGGACAUCGUUGCAAAGCUGAAACUUAAAGGAAUUGACGGAAGGCACCAGCAGGAGUGGAGCCUGCGGCUUCAUGUGACUCAACACGGGAAACCUCACCGGCCCGGACAGGAGAAUGGACCAAAUGUCAACUGGAAGUUUUUAUAUUAAUACAGUUUGAAAAGGAUUGUUUUCCUUGUAUAUUCACAAAAGCUCAGGAGUAGACAUGAACCUGUGCACAAACAUCCAUCACAUAGAGACAUGAGAACUCACACUCACUCACCCACACACACAUACAUUCUAUUAUAAAAGCAGCUGGAAAUGUUAUUUGUUAUUUUAUGGAUUUUUUUUUGUUCAAAAGGAACUAUGUUGCAUGUAUUUUUUAAAUAUAUUUACUUAAUUUUAGAGACAUUUGUUCAUGGGACUUAAAUGUUCUGAAAAUGUAUUAAUAAAUAUAAUUUACAACAGCAA